CCCACUCUCAUGUGCGUAGGACCUCAAUGGAUCACCAUUAAAUUUGGCACAGAUCUCUAGAAAAGUUAUCACAUAAAUGUGAGACUUGAUUUUUCUAGAUAUCUGUGCUAAAUUUAAUGGUGAUCCUUUGGGGUCCUACACACAUAAGUGUGGG
rnacentral:pre_miRNA from 1 species